rnacentral:tRNA from 1 species
GGGCGUGUGGUCUAGAGGUAUGAUUCUCGCUUUGGGUUGAUAUAAUACAAAAAUGCGAGAGGCCCUGGGUUCAAUUCCCAGCUCGCCCC